rnacentral:tRNA from 1 species
GAGGGUGUAGCUCAGUAGAAGAGCGGGUGCUUAGCACGCAUGAGGUCCUGGGUUCAAUCCCCAGUCCCUCCA